GAUGAAAUUCAGUGCAUAAAACAGAGUAAGCACAGCAACAUGUGGAAGUUCUAAAAAGAUAAAAAUUACUCUGCUUAUUAAAUUUUUUUUACUGUCAUUCCUGUAGGAGACAGUUUCCCUGGAAUCUGAUUUUACUUUCCAUCUUUACUCUUUCUUUGGCCUAUAUGACAGGGAUGCUGUCCAGUUUCUAUAACACCAAGUCAGUUGUGAUGUGCCUGGGCAUCACGGCAGCAGUCUGUCUCCUGGUCACAGUCUUCAGUUUCCAAACUAAGAUCGAUGUUACUUCAUACCAAGGAGUGCUCUUUGUCUUCUGCAUGGUUAUGUUCAUCUCCGGACUGCUCCUA